UUCCUCCUCUAGAUCUUUUCUUACUUUAGAGUGUCCAAGUUGUUUGAAGAAGAAGGAAGAAACUAGCUGUUAAAGUUGCUUGCAGGCUAGCACCUCCAAGCCCCUGAUCUACGCCAGUCUUCACAUGAAUUUUUUUAUAGAGGUCAGAUGACUUUGUAUGGCUAUGAGCAAUAUGAGGAACACCCUCUCCUAGUGUUGGAUCAGAGAAGA
rnacentral:lncRNA from 1 species